rnacentral:rRNA from 1 species
AGAUUGAACGCUGGCGGCAGGCCUAACACAUGCAAGUCGAACGGUAACAGGAAGAAGCUUGCUCUUGCUGACGAGUGGCGGACGGGUGAGUAAUGUCUGGGAAACUGCCUGAUGGAGGGGGAUAACUACUGGAAACGGUAGCUAAUACCGCAUAACGUCGCAAGACCAAAGAGGGGGACCUUCGGGCCUCUUGCCAUCGGAUGUGCCCAGAUGGGAUUAGCUUGUUGGUGGGGUAACGGCUCACCAAGGCGACGAUCCCUAGCUGGUCUGAGAGGAUGACCAGCCACACUGGAACUGAGACACGGUCCAGACUCCUACGGGAGGCAGCAGUGGGGAAUAUUGCACAAUGGGCGCAAGCCUGAUGCAGCCAUGCCGCCGUGUAUGAAGAAGGCCUCCGGGUUGUAAAGUACUUUCAGCGGGGAGGAAGGGAGUAAAGUUAAUACCUUUGCUCAUUGACGUUACCCGCAGAAGAAGCACCGGCUAACUCCGUGCCAGCCGCUGC